UACGUAGGGUGCAAGCGUUGUCCGGAAUUAUUGGGCGUAAAGAGCUCGUAGGCGGCUUGUCGCGUCGAAUGUGAAAACCCACGGCUCAACUGUGGGCUUGCAUUCGAUACGGGCAGGCUAGAGUUCGGUAGGGGAGACUGGAAUUCCUGGUGUAGCGGUGAAAUGCGCAGACUAUCAGGAGGAACACCGGUGGCGAAGGCGGGUCUCUGGGCCGAUACUGACGCUGAGGAGCGAAAGCGUGGGGAGCGAACAGG
rnacentral:rRNA from 1 species